rnacentral:rRNA from 1 species
GAUCAUGGCUCAGGAUGAACGCUGGCGGCGUGCCUAACACAUGCAAGUCGAACGAUUAAAGGCCCCUCCGGGGGUGCAUAGAGUGGCGAACGGGUGAGUAACACGUGACCAACCCGCCCCGGACACCGGGACAACGGGCGGAAACGCCUGCUAAUACCGGAUACUCCGCGACGGACGCAUGUCCGACGCGGGAAAGCCCAGGCGGUCCGGGAUGGGGUCGCGGCCCAUCAGCUAGACGGCGGGGUGACGGCCCACCGUGGCGACUACGGGUAGCCGGGUUGAGAGACCGACCGGCCACAUUGGGACUGAGACACGGCCCAGACUCCUACGGGAGGCAGCAGUGGGGAAUAUUGCGCAAUUGGGGGGCAACCCUGACGCAGCAACGCCGCGUGCGGGACGAAGGCCUUCGGGUCGUAAACCGCUUUCACCGGGGAAGACCAAGCGACUGUACCCGGGGAAGAAGCCCCGGCUAAAUACGUGCCAGCAGCUGC